CCCCCGCGCUUAGUAUCACACUUUUGAAUCCAAUCAACUCUUUCCUUGGCCUCCCAUUUCCAUGCCUUGCCCGUCUCACAAAUAGUAAUAUCGGAUGCUUACCUGCCAUCUCCCCUUGAUUCUCCACUCCAACUCUAACCGAGAACUCGCUUUCCUUGCAGAAUUCUAUGCCCAAUUCAGAAACCAAUAUGGAACGAACUGAGUCCGAGUUAUCAAUUAUACGCAUUGUUGAAGAUUUAUUUAAGAAGAUUUUGUUUUGGGAGACAAACUUAAGUUCAUAGGAGUACUUUGAGUAGCUGAGGCCAUCACCA
rnacentral:misc_RNA from 1 species